rnacentral:lncRNA from 1 species
UCUGCACAGGGCCAGGAUCAUUAAUAUCACUGUCGUCCACAUCCGCAUCUUGUCCCACUGGAAGGUCUUCAGGGACAAUAGCAUGCAUGGAGCUGUCAUCUCCUGUGAUAAUGAUGCCUUCUUCUGGAAUACCUCAAGGACCUACCUGGGGCUGUUUUACAGUUAACUUUUAAAAAGAGGAAUCAAGGUUGCUAAGGGACCACCUGUGCUGAAUGCACUUUGUUCUGGCAAGAGCAGAAAACUGAGAAGCCGUGUUACCUACCACUACCUGGGAUUAAUUCAGGGAGCGGGAGAAUUCUGGAUAUGACUGGUAAAAACUGGAUAUUAAUUUCUACUACUAUUCCCAAAAGUCUAGAAGAUGAAAUUGUGGGAAGACUUCUAAAAAUUU